ACUAGAAUGAAUGGCUAAAUGAGGACUCAACUGUCUCUUGCACUUUACUAAUGAAACUGAUCCCUUAGUCUAAAAGCUAAGAUCUAGCCACAAGACGAGAAGACCCUGUGGAGCUUAAAACCAAACCCAUGACCAUGGACCCCCUGGUUUUUAGUUGGGGCGACUUCGGAGCACAAAAAACCCUCCGACACGGAAUUUUACCUAAUUAGAUUAACACAUCAACUGAUUCAUGACCCAGUAGUUUACCAUAACUACCUGAUCAACGAACCAAGUUACCCCAGGGAUAACAGCGCUAUCUUCCUCUAGAGUUCCUAUCGACAGGAAGGUUUACGACCUCGAUGUUGGAUCAAGACCCCCUAAUAGUGCACCCGCUAUUGAAG
rnacentral:rRNA from 1 species